GAUGAACGCUAGCGGCAGGCUUAACACAUGCAAGUCGAGGGGUAGAGGAAGCUUGCUUCCUUGAGACCGGCGCACGGGUGCGUAACGCGUAUGCAACCUACCUUUUACAGAGGGAUAGCCCAGAGAAAUUUGGAUUAAUACCUCAUAGUAUAUGUUUUUCGCAUGUUAGACAUAUUAAAGUUCCAACGGUAAAAGAUGGGCAUGCGUCCUAUUAGCUAGAUGGUAAGGUAACGGCUUACCAUGGCAACGAUAGGUAGGGGUCCUGAGAGGGAGAGCCCCCACACUGGUACUGAGACACGGACCAGACUCCUACGGGAGGCAGCAGUGAGGAAUAUUGGACAAUGGGCGCAAGCCUGAUCCAGCCAUGCCGCGUGCAGGAAGAAGCAUCUAUGGUGUGUAAACUGCUUUUGUACGGGAAGAAACACUCCUUCGUGAAGGAGCUUGACGGUACCGUAAGAAUAAGGAUCGGCUAACUCCGUGCCAGCCGCCGCCGUAACAC
rnacentral:rRNA from 1 species